GCCAGGCAAGGUGGCACAUGCCUGUAGUCCCAGCUACUCAGGAGGCUGAGGCAGGAGGAUCACUUGAGCCCAGGAGUUCUGGGCUGUAGCAUGCUAAGCCAAUCAGGUGUCUGCACUAAGUUCGGCAUCAAUAUGGUGACCUCCCAGGAGUGGGGGACCACCAGGUUGCCUAAGGAGGGGUGAACUGGCCCAGGCCAGAAAUGGAGCAGGUCAAAACUCUGGUGCUGAUCAGUAGUGGGAUCGCACCUGUGAAUAGCCACUGCAUUCCAGCCUGGGCAACAUAGCAAGACCCAGUCUCUA
ensembl:misc_RNA Metazoa_SRP Metazoan signal recognition particle RNA